GGCAUUUAGUCUUCCUGGACAUGCUUGUGAGGAUUCAAAGAGAAAACCUCUGCAGGGGUGUUUAAAGGUCAGUGCUGUAGAUACUCAGCAUCUGGCAUCUUGGCUUCCUGCUUGUUAAACCUGGCAUUUUUACUGAUAGAGUA
ensembl:snoRNA